UGGAGUCACCAUCCCUGGAGGUAUUUAAAAACAUGAAGAUGUGACACUUAGGGGCAUGGUUAAGUGGUGGACUUGGCAGUGCUGGGGUAAACAGCUGGACAUGAUGAUCUUAGAUUGCUUUUCCAACCUAAACAGUUGUAAUGAUUCUGGGAUUUACGAUACUGUAAGGUUGUGAGGAAUACGGUAAAAAAUAGACUUCAUCUUAUUUAUGUCUUCAAGCUAUCUGAGAUUUCUGUUUCUUCCAGGUGAUACCUAAUCAUAUAAUUUCAGUGACAAAUCUUAAAAACUACUUAAUAACUACCUUUAUUUUUUCCUUUCUUUUCCCUUUGGUUUGUUUGUGCAGCCUCACAACAUCUCCCUUACCCUUGGAGACUGAAAUGACUUUGAAAUGAUUUGCACAAGUAUCCUUGGAAGUUCCCAGUGCAGCAGAGGGCUCUAGACCUUUGUUUCUCUAGAAAACAAGUGAAAUGAGGGUUCAAUGACUGUGUGAAGAGCUCCAAGACACUAGGAAAAUGGUGUAGGGGAAGUGAGGAAUGUCCUUUCAAAACAAGAGCAGAAGUUUGCAUAUUUGUGAGUUCUGUUUUACUGUAUUGAAUGGUUCACGGAAUGAAGUUCAAGAGCAACAGAAAUAUGUUUACUGCUUUGAAUCUAUUGAGAAAUAAUGCAUUUUGCUCUUUCUAUACUGCUCCUAACCGGAACAUUGAAGCAUGGACAUUCAAUUUUGAGCCAUGUGGUGAGGCACUUAAUGAUACUUGGGCUGUCUUGAAGUUCACUGUGAGAAUUUACCACAGCUGAUGUUGUCACGUGAAAUGUGCCAUCUGGUUGAACUCAGAAUGAACUCAGAACUCUUUAAUAGAUCUUCCCUUUGGGUGAAAACCAGAAACAUAAAACUUGAAAAGGACUUAUAAAUCAUAACAGAUUUAAAUAUGACAGGAGGAUUUUUAAACAUGAUUAUCAUGAUAGGAUUUAAGGGCACCUCCAUUGCCUAAACCAGAUAUAUAUCAAGAGCUAAAUAAGAUGGGGUAGUGGAAAUCUUUCUAUUUAGGAUUUUUAACUUGAUUUGGAGAUCUCUCAUUGAAUUUGUCUACCUUGCUUGAGAAGGCAAAGAAAUGGCAGAUGAGGCUGUGGAUUUUUAAAUCCUCUUUGG